GACGAACGCUGGCGGCGUGCUUAACACAUGCAAGUCGAACGGAAAGGCCCUGCUUUUGUGGGGUGCUCGAGUGGCGAACGGGUGAGUAACACGUGAGUAACCUGCCCUUGACUUUGGGAUAACUUCAGGAAACUGGGGCUAAUACCGGAUAGGAGCUCCUGCUGCAUGGUGGGGGUUGGAAAGUUUCGGCGGUUGGGGAUGGACUCGCGGCUUAUCAGCUUGUUGGUGGGGUAGUGGCUUACCAAGGCUUUGACGGGUAGCCGGCCUGAGAGGGUGACCGGCCACAUGGGGACUGAGAUACGGCCCAGACUCCUACGGGAGGCAGCAGUGGGGAAUAUUGCACAAUGGGCGGAAGCCUGAUGCAGCAACGCCGCGUGCGGGAUGACGGCCUUCGGGUUGUAAACCGCUUUCGCCUGUGACGAAGCGUGAGUGACGGUAAUGGGUAAAGAGGCACCGGCUAACUACGUG
rnacentral:rRNA from 1 species